rnacentral:rRNA from 1 species
AUUGAACGCUGGCGGCAUGCCUUACACAUGCAAGUCGAACGGUAACAGGUCUUCGGAUGCUGACGAGUGGCGAACGGGUGAGUAAUGUAUCGGAACGUGCCCAGUCGUGGGGGAUAACGCAGCGAAAGCUGUGCUAAUACCGCAUACGAUCUAAGGAUGAAAGCGGGGGACCUGCAAGGGCCUCGCGCGAUUGGAGCGGCUGAUAUCAGAUUAGGUAGUUGGUGAGGUAAAGGCUCACCAAGCCUGCGAUCUGUAGCUGGUCUGAGAGGACGACCAGCCACACUGGAACUGAGACACGGUCCAGACUCCUACGGGAGGCAGCAGUGGGGAAUUUUGGACAAUGGGCGCAAGCCUGAUCCAGCAAUGCCGCGUGCAGGAUGAAGGCCUUCGGGUUGUAAACUGCUUUUGUACGGAACGAAAAGGUUCUCUCUAAUACAGGGGGCUCAUGACGGUACCGUAAGAAUAAGCACCGGCUAACUACGUGCCAGCCGCCGCAGUAAAAC